UUGCUGUGAUGAUGCCUAACUUGGUUUCGCUUCUGUCUGAGUGCAUGUGAUGUCAGACUCUCUUGGCUGUCUGAGCGA